rnacentral:tmRNA from 1 species
GGCCUUUCAUCCGGGCGCCAGGUCACCUAUAUAGAAAUUGUCUUCGGACUAUGGCGAUAAACGUACGUGUAAUAAGCGGUUCGGACCCGGGGGCGGUACCCGGCGGCUCCACCAAAAGCAGGCUCAGGCUCUCACCGGCCUGUUUCUGACGGGGCCGAAAUAGGAUCGACGGACGUCUAAAGACGAUACUUUCGCCCGUAUGAGCCCCGUUAGAAGCUCACAUCAACAUAGUUGCAAAUGACAACUUUGCUGAAGGUGAACUGCUCGCAGCGUAGUCUGUGCGUAGUAUACCGAAUUAACUCCUAAGGAUUCAGCUCCUUAGGCGGGGCCCGGAGGCGCCUGGCAACAGAAGCCUCCACU